rnacentral:rRNA from 1 species
ACUUAAAUUGAAGAGUUUGAUCAUGGCUCAGAUUGAACGCUGGCGGCAGGCCUAACACAUGCAAGUCGAGCGGUAGCACAGAGAGCUUGCUCUCGGGUGACGAGCGGCGGACGGGUGAGUAAUGUCUGGGAAACUGCCUGAUGGAGGGGGAUAACUACUGGAAACGGUAGCUAAUACCGCAUAAUGUCGCAAGACCAAAGUGGGGGACCUUCGGGCCUCAUGCCAUCAGAUGUGCCCAGAUGGGAUUAGCUAGUAGGUGGGGUAACGGCUCAC